rnacentral:rRNA from 1 species
UCCACGCCGUAAACGAUGAGUGCUAAGUGUUGGAGGGUUUCCCCCUUCAGUGCUGCAGCUAACGCAUUAAGCACUCCGCUGGGGAGUACGACCGCAAGGUUGAAACUCAAAGGAAUUGACGGGGGCCCGCACAAGCGGUGGAGCAUGUGGUUUAAUUCGAAGCAACGCGAAGAACCUUACCAGGUCUUGACAUCCUUUGACCACUCUAGAGAUAGAGCUUUCCCUUCGGGGACAAAGUGACAGGUGGUGCAUGGUUGUCGUCAGCUCGUGUCGUGAGAUGUUGGGUUAAGUCCCGCAACGAGCGCAACCCUUAUUGUUAGUUGCCAUCAUUCAGUUGGGCACUCUAGCGAGACUGCCGGUGACAAACCGGAGGAAGGUGGGGAUGACGUCAAAUCAUCAUGCCCCUUAUGACCUGGGCUACACACGUGCUACAAUGGGAAGUACAACGAGUCGCUAGGCCGCGAGGUCAUGCAAAUCUCUUAAAGCUUCUCUCAGUUCGGAUUGCAGGCUGCAACUCGCCUGCAUGAAGCCGGAAUCGCUAGUAAUCGCGGAUCAGCACGCCGCGGUGAAUACGUUCCCGGGCCUUGUACACACCGCCCGUCACACCACGAAAGUUUGUAACACCCGAAGUCGGUGAGGUAACCUUUUGGAGCCAGCCGCCUAAGGUGGGAUAGAUGAUUGGGGUGAAGUCGUAACAAGGUAACCAAGGGCGAAUUCCAG